UACGUAGGGUGCGAGCGUUUGUCCGGAUUUAUUGGGCGUAAAGAGCUCGUAGGCGGUUUGUCGCGUCGGCCGUGAAAUCUCCACGCUUAACGUGGAGCGUGCGGUCGAUACGGGCAGACUUGAGUUCGGUAGGGGAGACUGGAAUUCCUGGUGUAGCGGUGAAAUGCGCAGAUAUCAGGAGGGAACACCGGUGGCGAAGGCGGGUCUCUGGGCCGAUACUGACGCUGGAGGAGCGAAAGCGUGGGGAGCGAACAGG
rnacentral:rRNA from 1 species